rnacentral:rRNA from 1 species
GAUCCAGCCAUUCCGCGUGCAGGACGAAGGCCUUCGGGUUGUAAACUGCUUUUGUACAGAACGAAAAGGUCUCUAUUAAUACUGGGGGCUCAUGACGGUACUGUAAGAAUAAGCACCGGCUAACUACGUGCCAGCAGCCGCGGUAAUACGUAGGGUGCAAGCGUUAAUCGGAAUUACUGGGCGUAAAGCGUGCGCAGGCGGUUAUAUAAGACAGAUGUGGAAUCCCCGGGCUCAACCUGGGAACUGCAUUUGUGACUGUAUAGCUGGAGUGCGGCAGAGGGGGAUGGAAUUCCGCGUGUAGCAGUGAAAUGCGUAGAUAUGCGGAGGAACACCGAUGGCGAAGGCAAUCCCCUGGGCCUGCACUGACGCUCAUGCACGAAAGCGUGGGGAGCAAACAGGAUUAGAUACCCUGGUAGUCCACGCCCUAAACGAUGUCAACUGGUUGUUGGGUCUUCACUGACUCAGUAACGAAGCUAACGCGUGAAGUUGACCGACUGGGGAGUACGGACGCAAGGUUGAAACUCAAAGGAAUUGACGGGGACCCGAACAAGCGGUGGAUGAUGUGGUUCAAUUCGAUGCAACGCGAAAAAACUUAUCCAACUUUGACAUGUACGGAAUUUGGCAG